UACGUAGGGGACUAGCGUUGUCCGGAAUCAUUGGGCGUAAAGCGCGUGUAGGCGGUCCGGUAAGUCCGCUGUGAAAGUCGGGGGCUCAACCCUCGAAUGCCGGUGGAUACUGUCGGGCUAGAGUGCGGAAGAGGCGAGUGGAAUUCCUGGUGUAGCGGUGAAAUGCGCAGAUAUCAGGAGGAACACCAAUUGCGAAGGCAGCUCGCUGGGACGUUACUGACGCUGAGACGCGAAAGCGUGGGGAGCAAACAGG
rnacentral:rRNA from 1 species